UGUGUUUGGACGCCUUUAGUGCAUUACA
rnacentral:piRNA from 1 species